rnacentral:lncRNA from 1 species
AUGCUCAGUGUCACUCCUGGCUGCUUUACCUGCCCAGAGCAGUGCAGGGAGAAUCAGGGAAUGGUUGUGGUCAGUACAGAGCAGUUUCUCUUCACCACUUGGCUUUCUCAAGCUUUCCCCCUGCUCUGCCUUGGGACAUCUCCUCCUCCUCUGACCUUGGUGUUCCCUGUGUUGUUCCCUUCUCUGUGCAGCAUUUUGCCCUUUCUUAAAUCCAUUUUCCCAGAGAUGAGGUGCCGCCAUCUUGGCUGCGGGGCCCGGCUGUGCCCUGCGGUGGGGCCGUUGGGGCCGGCUGGGGCCAGCAUCGGGCAGGCCCGGCAUCGCCUCAUGCAGCGGCCACACAGCACCCACUGCCAGCACCUGGGCACCUGCACCCAGCACAGCUACAUAAGGAUAGGAAGUUUUUCAGCCAUAAUGGGAGCUUCUACAUGAAAAGAGGAGAAGUAAUUUGCUUCUACAAGGAAGAGAGAGAAAAGACUGUGGUGCAGUGAGAUGUUAGAAGAGUACAGUUGAGCACAUACAAUCUUCUACCCCAGAUCCAGCUGUCUUUCUGAGUGUUUUCUUUCUUUUUUUUGAGUGGUCAAACUUACUCAGGACUCAUAAGAGUAAAGGUACUAGGAUUUAAGGUCACAGUUUUGCUUCUUAAUAGUACUCUCAUCAAUGAGCUUUUAGUGUCCUAUUUCAUCCCACUUGAGAAAAAGAUGAGAAUUUAUUAAGAGCUCUCUCGCUUUCUCCAAAUUUCCCAUUACCAAAUUAAGCAUGGAAAUGUGGUUUUCUUUUCCUCAGACACCAUUUGUUUCCCAAAAGUAAUUACAAUAUCAGCUUGAUAAAAGCUGCUGGUAAUUUUGUUAAGAAUUUUGCUGAAAAAGAGCAGAGUAACUUAACAACCUAAGAGAAUUGUCUGUGGAAUUGAGUGCAGCUGGGAGACAGCCACGCUACCCACCAGGAAUUCUAACCACUGUAAUUAGCAGCAAAUUUCCCUAUUUCUGUAUGUUAAACAGGGAAUUCAUCUUCAGUUUGUUUCUGCCUGGGGCAGGGAGAAAGAAAAUGUACCCGUAUGCCUGGGUUAAGUGGUAUUAGCUGCACUGGAAGGAAGCAAAUCCUCAAAUUAUACCAUUAUCUGAUUUAUAACAUGUAAAAACCUCUCCAAGCCAACUGUCUUUACUUCAGUCAUAAUCCAAAAAAAAAUGCAAGUGAAAAGUCAUAUAGGAAACACCUAUGUAGGAGUUAGGUGUUUAUAGAUGAGGUUGUUUAAAAAUUAAUGAAUAAAAGAUGAAUAUUGCCAUUGCA